AGCUUUGUUCAGUAGCAGUAUCGUAGCCAGUAAGGUUAAUCUGAGGUAUGAUUACUGCUAAUUAAAAAUAAAAUCUGAAAAUGAAGAUGUUUAAUGUUUUAAAAAAUUUCUGUCCAUACCAUUAGAUC
ensembl:snRNA U4 U4 spliceosomal RNA